UAAACUAGGAUUAGAUACCCUUUUAUUUUUGAAGCUAUACAUUGUAAGUAAAUAUUAAUUAUGAAAAGCAAAAAAUUAUGGCGGUAUCUUAAGCUUUUCAGAGGAAUUUGCUCUAUAAUGGAUAAAACACCUAAAUCUUACUUUAAUUAGUAAAUUCAAUUUGUAUACCACUAUUAAAAUAAUAACACACAAUUAUUAUUGAAAUAUAAUUUAUGUAAUAAAUUAAGUCAAGGUGCAGUAAAAAUUAAAGAAUGAAGUGAAUUACAUUUCUUUUUAGAAAAAAAAAAUGAAAUAAAUAAUUUAGGAUUUGAAAGUAAAAUUAAAAUAGUAUGUUAAUUUGAAAUAAGCUCUAAGAUAUGUACACAUCGCCCGCCCCUCUCAUAU
rnacentral:rRNA from 1 species